CUUGCUGCUUUACUCCACUUUUCCAAAGGCAGUUCCAGGAGGCGCCCAGCCUGUAAUUUAGGAUGGCACAUACUGUGUGAAAGAGGCUUUGGCACCGGGGCCUACCAGCACAUCAAGGUGAUAUUAACAUAAUAAAACGUUUGGAGAGGGAGUAGAAGCUCAUAAAUUAAUGCAUUCUACUGUUUUAAUGCUAGGAGCUAACAAUGCGUUUCCUGUGCGGCUGAUCGUCCCCGCUGCAGCCUAACAGCUGUUUUAAAGCUUCCAGUUUGGAAGAUGGCCACCACAGAGCUUCCCACCCACAGAAGACAUCCGAUGGAUGCAGAUGCCAACCACACAUGGGGGUUGUGCCCCAAAGACACCGAGGAGUGCCGAGCUGCUGGGGGGCAGGCGGGAAUGCCCAUCUACUGCUGGGCUCCUCAUUGCCAGGUGAUGCUCCUGCUGCCAACCAAAAGGGCACCAAAUCAUCUCCACCCCAACCCAAGCAGCUUCCGAAAGGAUGGUUUCCAAAGCCAAGCUCGCAUUCUGCAUGGUGGUGGCGCAAAUUGUUCCUGUACAAACAAAAGAACCCUGUGCAAUUGCUUACUUUAAUCAUCCCAAACAUUCAUUAAUGUCUCCAUGUAUUCCCAAAUAUAGCAAAGAAAUGGCUCCCCAAGCCGACCCGCUCCUUCGUUCGCAGCCUUCCCUGUUAGUGCAGCCUUGGAAUAGUGUCUAGAAGGCCACACAGCUUCUUUGGGAAAACUGGGAUGUUUGGAACAUGAGUGGAUUCGAGCAUUUCUAAACUUCCCAGAAGAGGCAAAUCGUAAAGGAAUAAACUUCUUUCUGUGCACGCACUUUUGCUUUGGAGCCAAAUGGAAAGGAGAGAUCAGAAAAAAAAAUGACAAAUUGUUUGGAAAAUAUUGUCCUUCCCAAGACAGACCUAACCAUAUGGGGGGAAGGGACUCAAUACGGAUUUUUUUCCCUUUCAAUUCUAGUCCAGCAGUCCUCCCAUUCACUCCGCUGGGAGGUUUGUGUGAGUCAGACCUGCAAGAUCAUCCAUUCAAGGCCAGUAAUAUUUCCAGCACUUCAGUCCACUCCUAUUCCCUGCUGAAGCAAGAUGGAAAGGGUUCCCCCCCCCCCCCCCCCCCCAUUUGUGGUGGGAGCAGCAGGAGGGGGCUGAGUGCUCUCCUUGCUGCCUCCCAACUUCUCCCACAGCCCAGCAUUGCUGAAGAUGAGCUGCAGGGAAGGAAAGGGCAAAGCUGCUCCAGCGCUUAGAAAAUGUGUCUAGGAGUUUGUGUGGAUGACUGCAAAAAGCAGAAAGCCUGCUGGAACAUGGAGAAUAAAGCAUGAGGACGGGGAGAAGCCCUCUUUCCAGCCCUGCCCCAGCCUCCUGGUGUGAGCCCAGCGAGGUGCACGAGGUUUUUGUGCCUGCAGCCAACCACCCCCACCUACCCCGGGACGCGCGCAGGUUAAGGCAGGAAUGAGUCAAAUGGAAGAGGCUUUAAAGGAGCAAGAUGUACUGAUGUUUCCAUCACGCUUGUGAAAGGCUGCUGUAGCAUGCUGGAUCAGUUAGGACAGACCUGGGCUCUUCUUGGACAAAACGAGUGGUACGUUGUUACCUUUGUGGUUAGCUGGAGCACAGAAAAUACUUGUUGUGGCAAAGAAAUCCCUUUAUUUCUUUCAAAUCACUGAAAUUAUCAUCAUUGUCAUCUUUAAGUAAUAAACCAGCUCGAUAUUUAUGCAUGCCCAACUACUAGUGGUGACACUUAUGCAACAACAACAAAAAAAGCCGAAGCGGUUGUGUACAUCAGCAAUUAACGGCAGCGUGCGGAGCAUGCAAGACGCUUUGAAGGAGAUGUUGGGAAAGAGACUUUUUUUGUGUGUGGUUGUGUUUAUCCCCUGGUGACAUGCUGCUAACAAGCUGCAAACCAAGGAUCACCCACAACAAACAAAAACAAACAAACAAAGUUUUGUAGAGGGUGGUAAUACUUAGUUUAAUUCUCCGAGGCCUUUAAAAAUAAUUAUAGCCCUGCUUGUGACAACUGGAAGGGCUGCACUUACUCUAAUAAAACUGCUUGUUAUUCUUUAAGAAUGACAUUUGGAGAUGUUUCCUUAUACAAUGUAGACAUUAAUGGGAGGAGAUCUCAAUCAAUGAAAUAUUGAUGCAUUUCUCAUCUUUGCACUAGCAGGAUUUCUGAUGCUGCAGCUUGUGGUCAGCUGUUUACUUGCCAGUUAAAUCACAGCACUUUUAAUGACUUUCUAGAGAUCUGUCUGAGGACUUACUGCCAAAGAACAGGAUCGUGGGGAUUUCGGCAUUACUGAAAAGUUACUCAAGGUCUAGACAUCGGUCCAAGGAUCUCUCUACUACAAUUUUAUUCCAUGCAUUAAAGGGAUGAGCUCCAGGCUGUGAUGGGAGGCAGGAGAGGGGGCUUUGGCCUGGCCCAGCCUCUUCCAUUCCUGACGUGGGAUGGUGCCAUGGAGAAGGACUUCCCCGAGCCAGCCCUGCCUCCUCUCCUGCCGUGGGACGUCCCCGUCGUGUGCUGUUACUGCUGUAUCUGCUAUGAUUGAUGACUUCCAAAGUUGCUCUAAAACUAUCCGAGUGCCUGCUGAGCCAUCUGAAACUCAUCUCCACUCUGCGCAUGGGUCCCCAGCACUCAUUUUUCAGGUGACCAUGCUGGCCUGGGAGUGGAAAUGAGGAAAGCACACAUUACUUGGCAGGAGCUCCGUACCGAGAGGCGAGACGGACGGCGCUUUCUGGCAGCAUGCGCGGGGCCUCAUGCAAAUGAAAACUGAUGGCUUAAUAUUUUGUUACAUUUUCCCACCAGAGUGAUUACCUCCUAAUUGCAGGGAUGGAUUAAACCGAAGAUAUGGUGCUGGUUCAGGGAGAGCUGCCAUGUGUCAGCCUUGAGCUGUCACCGGGAAGCGGGGGCCGUGCCUCUGCCCUCCCGCUCCUGCCUUGUGCUGGGUCUUGUCCCUCCUCGUGCAGCCUCUCCACGCCCGGCUCCUUGCCCACACGCUGAAACUCGGGCACACACAGAGUGCGAGGUGCCAUUUCCGAGGGAAUGUGCUCUUUCUGUGUGGUUCCAGGGGUUUGGGAGGAUGAAACAAACUCCGCAGCUAUUUCUCAAUGUGCGUCUCAUUGCUCGGGGAUGGACGGUACAAAGCUGUAUUUAGAUGACCUCUUUCUUUGCCAAACCUAUCCCUGAGGUCUGCUGAAUUCAGCAAGGCAGAAAUGAGAGGCAGCUUCCAGGGGAAUCCUGAGAGCAGUCGGCGGAGCUGAUGUGACAAAACAUCACUUAUGCACCUCUGAGUAUUUUCCAGCAGAGCUUGGCGCUGGGCUGAGGAUGCUCAAGGUAAAUUUGGCAGCUGCACACGCAAAGACCUGCAGAGUGUUGCUACGCCCAAAAACUUUGCACUGCAUGACUCCCUUGAAGAGCUUCUGGCAGUGCUCCUGCAGGGUCCUGCUCCUGGGCCAGAGGACAGGGUCCUGCUGAGGAUGCUCACACCUCUGCUCUCCUCGGACCUGUGUCUGUUCCAGGCUGCUGUUUCAAUGCUGCAUUGCCAGCCUUCUGGCCCAAGGCAGAUGUUGAUGUCUCUGUCUUUGAUUUACCACGACCAGCAUCAGCAGCAAGAGCCCAGGAGCACCUACAUUUUAAGACAAACAGCACAAAAUAAGGGUUUACACCAUCUUCACCCUGCCUGCUUUCAAAACCAGAAAAAGAAGAAAACAAUAAGUUUACAAAUUCUGUUGAAAAGUUCUGUUGCUGUAAACUAUUUGUCCAUUGGAAAGAUUGCUUUGGGAGAAGCACACGCCAUCCCAAAUCUAUCUAUCCAUCCCCACGCAGGGGUACCUCUGGACCUCUCCUCUGGUUAAAGGCUCUGCCACCCCUCCACAUCUGUGCCCAGAGCUGCUGCUUUUACCUGGCUUUUAAUAUGCAGAUUUACAUAGUUCAGCAUUUCAGCUAUUUUAAAAAUUGCCUUUCACCCAAAGCUGCUAUUUUAUUACACACUGCUCUCAGCAGCCCCCUGUUUCCUUCAGGCCCUCUUCCCCAAAAAUUCAUUUGAAAAUCCCAAGUGAGGAACACACAAGGUCUGAAGUCACUGCAAAGAGGUGAGAAGGAGAGAUGUUUCUUAUGCCUGUUUUAAUAAUGCAGACAAAAUGAUGACAGACCUCUACAGAGACGGGCUUGUCUCUGCCACAGGGCACAAGCACGGUUCCGUACCCUGCUCGCACAGGGCAGAGCUGGCUGGUUCCUGGUGCAGGGCUGUGCCUCUGGAGGUGCUGUCCCAGGCUGGGAACUACCCGUGGUUGGGGAGAAGAGGCAUUUCUGGCCACUGCAAAUACAGAGCGUGCCAAAAACACGUUUCCUCCGAAGGUAUAAAAGGGCUGAUCCACCUCCUGCCAAAGCAUGAUGAAACUAAAUGAGAGAUGCUCACAGCAAUGAAAGAGAAAGAAGAUAAAUGAGUCUGGGUGCGGAUAUUUGGCAUUUAGGAAGCCAAUGAAUUGUCCAUGUAUGCAUAUUAAAAAUACCUUUAGCAUUUUUGCUUUCCCAAAGGGAACAUCUACAGAAGAAGACCAACCUGGGGCUCUCCCAGUGCUGGGGCUGACCACAACAUAAUCACCAAAACUAGGUGGAAGGUUAAAAUUAAACACCUGUGUGGAAAGUGUUUGCAGCAGAGAAGUCUGCGUUUGCUUGUGAGCAAGAGAAUAAAGGCAUUCAUCCAGCUCGAUGAAAUACUGGGAGAUCUAUGGGUGGAAAGUGCUAAGUAUUACAAUUAUUAUUUACUAUAUAUUAAUAUUAGUUAUUCAGAGGAUUUGUGUGUGGAGGAAACUUGGAGGAUCUGGUCUGGCUCUGUGUGUGCCAGGACUCUCAAGGGAUUUUUUAGUGUCUACCACAAUUAUAGAUGAGGACUGAGUGAAACCUUGUGGUUUUACUCUACAAAACAUUAAAUUCAGCGACUGCCCAUGUUU